rnacentral:lncRNA from 1 species
UUGGUUAAAGAAGUGGUUUCAGCAGCUUUUGCUGUAAAGAUCUUUAAAUCAUGGAUAAAUGAGAUAGACAUCAAUGCGGUUGCUGCAUGGACAACAGACUGAUGGAGCUGUUCUCUGCCAAUAAACAAAUUGUUGAGCAGUUCAGUAAGUAUUUCACUGUUCCAGGCUUGAAUGAGGUUUCAGAGUAUGUCUGCAACCAGCAGAUCAUUGGGGCUCAGAAGGAGCUCCAGAAGGAUCUUCAGGAGCAGAUGUCUCAGGGUCACCCAUUCAAGGACAUAAGUUUAUAUGUCAAGGAAGAGAUGAAAAAAAUAAUGACCCAUAACCAGUGGUCAUUGGGAUAGUGUAGUUAAGUGUGAUGAGUACUGUGGAGUGGAAAAAAAAGAAGGGCUUUUAGCAGAACAAGUCAUCAAGCACUUGAAGCAAUACAGCCCUCUACUUGCUGCCUUCACUAUUCAAGGUCAGUCUGAGUUGACUCUGUUACUGAAGAUUCAGGAGUAUUGCUAUGACAACAUUCACUUCAUGAAAGCCUUCCAGAAAAUAGUCGUGCUCUUUAUAAAGCUGAGGUCCUGAGUGAAGAGCCCAUUCUGAAUUGGUAUAAAGAUGCACAUGUUGCAAAAGGGAAAAAUGUCUUCCUUGAGCAA